ACACUCGUAAAUCUCCAGGCAACAGAAUAAUGGUUCAGAUUUAAGUAUCGUAGACUAACGCUGUAUUGGAGAAGGAAUUGAUGGAUAUUAAGAAACAAGAUAUUUUAUAGUUAUCAAAUAAAUCUCGACAUCCUAAUCGUCUUUGAAAUGAUUCGAAGAACAGGUGUCUCGACAACUCUAUUGCAAUCAUGGUACUAUCGACGGCGGAUCUAAAAAUAAAGUCACGAGUGUCGAGCAUCUCAACUGACGCAAUUCGCAGAAGCUUUUCUCAGCGAAGGAUUGUCCAUCCGAACUUCUACAUGUCAUCAAAUAUACGUGCCUGAACGCGUUUCCGAUGGAACGUGUCGCGUAAAACGCGCACUUGGAGAAGCUCCAGGUGCGGAGGAGGAAGUACGUGUAAAUUGUGAUGAAGUAAAAAGAGAAGUUGGAUGGAUCUAGCGGCAAAGCCACGUGCGUUGCUAUUUUUCACAGAAAUGAAACAGAAGCUGACUAUACAUUUUUAGAUUUAUCUAUACUAUAUAUAAGCAUAUAUUAUACAUCACAUACUAUCGAAUGAAUGAAAUAUUGUCAUAUAUCUUUUUCAGUUUAGACAAUCGAAUUAGCAAGAAAUUAAAAUUACAGAGUGCUCGUAUUUCAGAAGAUACGGAUAAACACUAUCCCUAAUGGUUAUACAGACCAGAACGAAAGGGAAAAAGUUCCUCGGAAAUUGAGGAAGGGGAUGUUUUUUUGUUCGAUAAGGAAAACAGCGUCAUUAAGUGCAAUCCUAUUCCGUUUCGAUCGUUCGGGUAAAAAAGUAAAUGUUUCGGUGAGUGUGUCAAGUAUCGUCUCGAAAAGUAUCCGGAAACGCCUGGUUCUUCUUAUAAAUCAGCGUCGGUACACUCCCUCUUUCCACGACCAUGUCAUUUAGCGAGAAGUUUUCUGCUGGAAAAAAAAGGGAAAAGCACGCGAUCGCUAUUUAAAAGGCUCGUAGGUGGGUGGCUUUUUAACCGAAGUAUAUACCGACGUAGGGAGAGGGCUUCGACUUCGCUCUUCGGCCUCAGUAUGGGGUUGCCGUGCUAUUUUCAGGCCGGUGGCUCGAUGCAGCUGUCGUGUUCUUCGGGUAAACCACCUCUCUUCUAUUCCACGGUCACUCGCGGGACAAGGUAGAACGUACAGAUUGGAAUUCUAAAUUCACGAUUCGAGAAUUCGUAAAGGAUGACGCAUCUUCGCUAAUUCUGUCCAAAAUUAGACGAUCGUGAUAAAAGAAACGUAGUACUACCGGAAGUUCGUUUUAUCAUUUUACCCUUUCUCGAAAUUGAUACCCUUCUCAUGUUAUUUUCGUUUAUCUAACCAUUUUUCUUUGUUAUUUUCUUUUCUCGAUGUUUCUGAAACCUUCCAUUCUUUACGAUUAAGGUUGUUCUUUCUACUGUAGAAUUGAAACGAUAAUUGAUAAAACGCACUAAGGCUGAAUGUAAUAAUAAAAAAAUAUUUUAUUUGUCAAUGUAAGAAUUACGCGAAGUUAUACUUUUGUACGGAAUAGUAAAAGGCAUCAGGAGAUAGAAAGAUAGAAACUAUGAGAACUAUUUAAUUGAUUGCCUCCAGCAAAUGUACGGGUAGAAGUGCGUGCUGAAGAAUAGAAGACGUGGAUGAAGAAGAUGACAAGAUUCGAAGAUCUUGGCAACGAGCCAGACGAGAUUUUCAGUCGUCUACGUGUACUUCCAACUUUCAUCUGUCUCCUCUUCUAGCCACCGUACACGUCCUCUAGGACCUAGGGUGCAAUGACACCGGGUUUUAGAUGACAAUUUUCUAUUUUCAGUACGUGAGUCAUUGUAUGCACAUACCUGUUCUAUGUAAAGUUGUUGGUUUUCUAUGAAUUCUUAAAAUUCCAGGAAAGUGAUUUUACAAUAUAAGAAUUUAAAUUAUUAAUUUAGUAAACUUAGAAUCUCGACGUAUAAUAAGAUGGAGACAAAAAAGAAAGAAGAAAGGAGUAUUAGAAGGUUAAAAAAUAUCAACCGGAACGGCCCUUAAUUUAGUUUCGGGUGCAAGAGAUUAACACAGGGUGGGGAUGUCCGUGGAAGUGCUCCUACAAGGGGAGAACGCCGUCAUACGAAGCACGUUGGUUCAUGUUUGGAGGAAUGUCUUUGGGUAUAAAGGGAGACAGUUCCUUCCGGAGACGGCGAACAGCCGCCUGUUUUACCCCUCUCACCCCUCAGAUUUGUUCCCUUUCUUUAUAUCGCUUUUCUUGCGAUUCGUCGUCACUUACUAUCUAUUAAGAUCAAUGAAUAGAUAUUUUUACUCGAAGCUUUUUUAUACAAAGAAAGUCUUAUAAAUUUUAUCAAAAUCAUCUGAAAAUCAAUUUAUAUGCGAAUAUAUAAUAUAUUAUAUUUUUAUUAUGUAUAUACACCAGAAAAUAAAGAGCAAUCUGAUGAUCAAUUUCAGGAAAGCAUGCAGAAUAAUGAAAUUUAUAAAGAGGACGGAAAUAUAGUAAUUCAUAGAUUAAUUGCAUGCUGAUCAAACUGUAGAACUAAAUGGCUUCGCAGGUGGCAAGCAGGCAUGCGAAUCUAAAAAGGGUCACACACACGAGCACGUGCUCGCAUUUUGCACAACCUUUUCAAAGACGGAGGCGAUCAGCUGGCGGUAUUCUCUCUUCCUUUUCCCCUCUUAUCUCCUUCAACAACGAGAAAAAAGAAUUAAAAAGGAUAAAAAUGAGCAUACACCCCCUUCGUCCGCACCCGCAUCCUGUGCCAGAGCAUAGUGCUGCUUUCGUAAAAACCGGCCUGUCGGUUUCCAUUCAAAAUGCGCGAGUCACGAGGGCUCAUUCACAAAUUUCACGACGAAAUUCUACACUCGGCCGGACCGUCUGCGAUCUUGAUCGAGACAACAGAGACAAACACGUAAGAGUGAGAGUGAUCGGGAUAUCCUUUUUCUUGAAACCUCUUGUUGCUGGAUUUAUAUUCACGUAAGUUUUUUUUUUUGCAACAAAAGAACCAACGAUGGUUCAUAAUGACGUACACGAUGCAUUUAAAUUCGUCGCAACCGGUAUGAGCACAGGAAUUUAUCGAGCAGUCAGCUGAUUUUACCUACAUAUACUGACGUAUAAGAUCUUUAAAUGAUCAUAAAAAUAAGGACACCCGAAAUUCUAUUGAAAAAAGUAAUCAAGAUAUGAGGUUUUACAAAAGGACUUUGUCAUGAUCAGUGUUCUUAAUUGACAUUGACAAAUGCACGAACAUUAGUACAAAUGAUAUUAGAUAGAAAAUUCUGUUCAUUGGUCUACGCUGACUGAAAUAUACUUAAUGACCAUGUAGAUUAUUGCCCGUUUGAGAUCUGGAGAAUGUUGAUGACUUCCGUUUCUCGCAUCAAGCAUCGGAAGCGCUAGGAUGUAAAAGAAAGAAAGAUGAACCGUUAACGCGACACACGGGUGCCGUUCGAUGAUUAUUCGACCGAGUGUCUGUUUUCUGAUGGGAUACAUCUCCUGUUGCAGUAGGUGGUUCCUUCUAUCGCUUCGCGUACGGACCACGUGCCACGCUGAUCCUCCCUCGUUGAUUCUCUUUCUUCCAUUGCCGUCGUCCAGACGGCUUUAAGGAGAGAUGAAAAAAAUGAAGGGGACGGAAAAAGAGGAAGUGGACUAGACGAUGAGGGGGCUGAGGUCGUAGUCCUGAACAGUUUGCUGGUGGAUUCAUGGAAUUCAUCCUUCUACGCACUUUUAAUCGUGGCUCAUUGAAGAAUCCAGGCGCAAGAAGAUGCUCGUUGCACAUUAUCUCAAUCCUUUAAACAGUUUCCGUAGCGAUUAAUGAAUGACAUGGGAAGAACUAGUAACCGUUUUACUACAGGGAAACCACAGGAAAGAGAGACUUGUAAUUUUUGUUUAAUAACGAAGCGGGAAACAUUUUUCGAAUCGCAUUGCAUUGGCGUUGUCUGAAAACAUUACUGUAUGAAAAUUCUACGAAGAAUGAUUAAGGUCGAUGAAGACGAAAAUGCGAUCUGUUGUCGUAACGAGGGAAAUCGGACAUCUCUAAGUAUAGCUCGUAUUUGCAUGCAGAUCAGGGACGGAUCGUACUGGGUUGCCAAGCUGCUACAACGUGCAAAGUCCACAAGCAAUCAUUUGUAUCUACUUCGAUGACGAUUACGAACUUGGCAAUGCUCGGAAAGAAGCGCCAUUGUUGCACAAUCAAAUUCCUUCUUUCGGCUUUGGGAUACUGAUUUCAAAAUUUCUCAUUGAGAAGUUUCUGUUAUUGUUACGAGAGUUUAUAAUACUUUAUAUGAGGUGGUUUCUAGGAUCAGUUAUCAUUAUUGCUCAAUGAUCUUAAAGGACCAAGUAGGAUUUGCCAACGAGGAAGGCGAGAGCUUCGUGCCAAGAGCGUUUAAUGACACUUUAUGAAAGACACUUCGUGAAGCUAAGAGAGAUGGUUUUUGUCUUGUUUGUAAACAUACAACAAUGUAUAAUAAGAGAAAAGAUACACUAUCAAUAUAGUAAUACACGAAAGACUAACUAAUCAAAAUGAUAAAUAUUGUUAACUAGAUGCAAAGAAUAAUCAAAGAAGCAUGUAAAUAAAAUUAAAUAAUAAUACAAGAAGAUAAAUUAGAUGCAUCUAAUGACGUUUUAGAUGAGCAUGAAUUCACAAAAUUAAAACCAUGACCAUUUUGCAAACUCCUGGCCGACCACCAACGAUUAACCAUUUAUAAUUACGAGGAUACUACAUUUUGGCACGUGACACAGCAUUUAUAGAUCGCGUCUCGAUUUAAUCGUCGUCGUUUCAAUUAUUUUUCUGGCUACCUGUCAUCAGAAGCGUGGAUCCGUGGAUCCAGUCGAUGCCAAUGAUCGAAAAAUAGAUCCGAGCGCAACCUGUUCGAAAUAGCUGGCGUGAAACCUGUAACGUAGCUGUGUGUGUGCCGUUAAUGUCAGCACGUUGAACGUGUAGAUCGGUAUUGGAAUACCGACAUCAUGGUCGGCAUUCAAAUGCAAAACACGACACAAGUCAAGUGAUUGCUGGCUUUGGCGAUGAACGUGUCUAUUGUUUCAGACAAUAUCUAUCCAUAGGUUGAUCAA